CUAAGCUUUAAUGUCGGUUUUAAACCGACAUUAAAGGUCCGCCAUUUUGAAAACCGACAUUAAAGGUCCAUUUAAUUUUUUUUUAAUAAUUUUAUUUUGUGAAAAAAUAAUAGUCUCUCUCUUACUUUACUCUUUCGACCCUCUCCUACUCGCGCAAUCCCUUUUCUUCUCCAAAUGAAUUCGUCCAUUUCUUCUUCGGCGACUUUUUCUUCUCCGAUGCCCGUUCCUUCUCCGACUUUUUCUCAUUGUUUUUCUCAUCUUCUUUUCUUUUUCUGAAUCCUUCCCAUAUUCAUCCAAAGGCAUGCUCAUCCACUUUCUGUAGAGGGUUUAGGGUCGAAUCACCAUCGCUCUCUAUUUUCUCUUCUUCUUCGAUAGUUCCGUCACUCUCUUCUUAUGGAUUGUUGGUCCCUUUCUCUCCCUCUCGACGACGAGUUCAAGAAGCUCGUCAAUCGUAUGAACCCUCACAGGGUUACCAUUGAUAAUGAUUCCAUCAGAAAAGCUACUCCGAUUAAGGUCUUUUUUUUCUACUUCAAUUAUUAUUU